rnacentral:rRNA from 1 species
AGAGUUUGAUCAUGGCUCAGGACGAACGCUGGCGGCGUGCCUAAUACAUGCAAGUCGAACGAGAAUUUCUUACACCGAGUGCUUGCACUCACCGUAAGAAAUUCGAGUGGCGGACGGGUGAGUAACACGUGGGUAACCUGCCUAAAAGAAGGGGAUAACACUUGGAAACAGGUGCUAAUACCGUAUAUCUCUAAGGAUCGCAUGAUCCUUAGAUGAAAGAUGGUUCUGCUAUCGCUUUUAGAUGGACCCGCGGCGUAUUAACUAGUUGGUGGGGUAACGGCCUACCAAGGUGAUGAUACGUAGCCGAACUGAGAGGUUGAUCGGCCACAUUGGGACUGAGACACGGCCCAAACUCCUACGGGAGGCAGCAGUAGGGAAUCUUCCACAAUGGACGCAAGUCUGAUGGAGCAACGCCGCGUGAGUGAAGAAGGUCUUCGGAUCGUAAAACUCUGUUGUUAGAGAAGAACACGAGUGAGAGUAACUGUUCAUUCGAUGACGGUAUCUAACCAGCAAGUCACGGCUAACUACGUGCCAGCAGCCGCGGUAAUACGUAGGUGGCAAGCGUUGUCCGGAAUUAUUGGGCGUAAAGCGCGCGCAGGCGGUUUUUUAAGUCUGAUGUGAAAUCUUAUGGCUUAACCAUAAGCGUGCAUUGGAAACUGGAGAGCUUGAGUACAGAAGAGGAGAGUGGAAUUCCACGUGUAGCGGUGAAAUGCGUAGAGAUGUGGAGGAACACCAGUGGCGAAGGCGACUCUCUGGUCUGUAACUGACGCUGAGGUGCGAAAGCGUGGGUAGCAAACAGGAUUAGAUACCCUGGUAGUCC